CAUUGGAAAAGCGCAGUACGCAGUAUUAGGGUGGGAGUGACCUGAUUUUCCAGGUACCGUCUCUCACGGCUUCCCUUGGCUAGGAAAGGGAAUUCCCUGAUCCCUUGCACUUCCUGGGUGAGGCGAUGCCUCGCCCUGCUUUGGCUCAUGCUCCAUGGGCUGCAGCCACUGUCCUGCACCCACUGUCAGACAAGCCCCAGUGAGAUGAACCCUGUACCUCAGUUGGAAAUGCAGAAAUCACCCGUCUUUUGUGUCGCUCACGGUGGGUGCUGUAGACUGGAGCUGUUCCUAUUCGGCCAUCAUAGAACCUCCUCCUAAUCAUGAAGUCAGGCUCCCCUUCCCCAGGGCUGCUGCAGUUUGCUGGGAGCCCACUGCAGACCCUAUUCACCUGGGUCCCGCCUGCACCUGGAGGUAUCACCAGUGGAGGCUGCAGAACAGCAAAGAUGGCUGCCUGUUCCUUCCUCUGGGAGCUCCUUCCCAGAGGGGCAACAACCUGAUGCCAGCUGGAAUGCUCCUGUAUGAGCCCUUUUCCUACAGGAGUGGAUAGAUCUCCUGCCUCACUGGAUUUCCUGGAGCUAAAAUAUGCAAAACUCCUGCAUCUCAGUGCCUGCCCAAGUGGCUGCUGACCUGAACGGUUGCUGUGAGUCUGCACAGCUCUGUGCUUUGGACCCAAGGCCCUGGUGACAUGGGCUCACUAGGGGAUCUCCUAAUCUGUGGGUUGCAAAGAUCUGUGGGAAAAGCAUGGUUUCCUGGGUGGGGUAGCACAAUCACUCACUGCCUCCCUUGGCUGGGGGAAGGAGCUCCCUUUGCCCCAUGCAGCUCCUGGGUGGGCCCUCACUCCACCCUGCUUUUGCUCACUCUCUGUGGGUCGUGCCAACUGCCUAGCCAGUCCUAAUGAGAGAACCUGGGUACCUCGGCUGAAGAUGUAGAAUUCACUCACUCUUUCGUUCUUCUUGGUGGGAGCCGCAGACUGGAGCUGUUUCUACUAGGCCAUCUUGGCACCUCCCCUACAACUUAUAAAAAUUAAUAGCACUUCUCUGCAUCAGUAAUAAUGAAGCAUAAGAUAUAAUGAAAAGCUAAGUUACUAUUCACAACAACACAUAUAGAAAAGUUUCUAGAAAUUAAUUCAACCAAAAAUACUCAAAAACUUUAUGGAGAAAAUCUGAAGAUUAAUAAAUGGUUUUGAUUAUAAUACGAAAAAAUGGAGAAUUGUUUCAUGUUCUUGAAUGAAAUGUCAACUCACCU
rnacentral:lncRNA from 10 species